rnacentral:rRNA from 1 species
UACGUAGGGCGCGAGCGUUGUCCGGAUUUAUUGGGCGUAAAGAGCUCGUAGGCGGCUUGUUGCGUCGACUGUGAAAACCUGCGGCUCAACCGUGUGGUCUGCAGUCGAUACGGGCAGGCUGGAGUUCGGUAGGGGAGACUGGAAUUCCUGGUGUAGCGGUGGAAUGCGCAGAUAUCAGGAGGAACACCGGUGGCGAAGGCGGGUCUCUGG